UUGUAACAGGCGGCUUGCUGACUGAUCUCCCUAACAGGGGCUUCUGUGUAAGCUGAGGCUAAACAAACACAGAUGGAGCUCAGUUUGCAUUCACCAAAAAUGCUGGCAAUGCGGCAGGGACUUCAGAUGACAUUCUGACUGCUAGAGGAGCACACACACAGCUCCUGAGUGCUGCCUGCAGCUGCACAGCCUAGCACCCACUGCUACCUCCAGCACCUACCUUCUGGCCCCAGGAAAUGAAAAACCUGCAAGUGCUGGAAGAGGGACAGUGGAAAGCCCAAUGCAUCAAGGAGUUCAAGGGCAUCAAGAAGUUAAAGAGGAAGAGCAGAGAGGUGACCAAGUCAGUGAAUGGUGUGAAAAGUUUCAAAGUGGAUUUAAAAGUGGACCAGGUGACUGUUCAGGGCAGAACAGCCACUUCCAAUGGGGCAGAGCUGCUGGACAUGAGGAAUAAUGCAGGUAGUGAUGCCUUGGACUUGACAAAUGGAACUGCUUUUAAUAUGACAAGUACAACGUUGUUAGCGUCUCAAGGGAGCUCACAGAAUAAGAAGGGGUUAAUAAGAGCCGGCAAUGUGGAUGGGAUGGAGGUUCAGCCCUAUGGGGAUCAGAGGUUACAGCCCAGGAUUAUGGUCUGUCAGAGACCCCCAGAGAACUCCUACUUGUCAGUAUCACAAGUGACUUACAGCCCAGACCCCAGUGCAUCUCCUAGGAAACGGCCGGGGGAGACUGCUGGCGUCUCUUCUGAGAUCAAAGCCAUCCAGCAGACAAGGAGACUGCUAGCAAAUGCCAGGGAGAGAACCAGGGUGCACACUAUCAGUGCAGCCUUUGAGGCUCUCAGGAAGCAGGUGCCGUGUUAUUCCUAUGGACAGAAGCUUUCUAAACUGGCCAUCUUGAGAAUAGCGUGUAACUAUAUCCUGUCUCUUGCUCGGCUGGCUGACCUUGAUUAUAGUGCUGAUCACAGCAACUUGAGUUUCUCUGAAUGUGUAGAGCAGUGUACUAGGACAUUACAGUCGGAAGGACGGUCGAAAAAAAGGAAGUGAGGACCAACAGAAAGCAAAUUACUACAGCACUGUGUGUCAGUGGAGAUCCAGAUAAAAGACAAAUCCGAUGGCGAAAUAGCGUUAUUGCUUUACACAAUGUGCAUAAUUCCGUACGUUCAUACAGGAGUCUAGAGUGAUGGGCAAAUGUCUCGUUACACACAGGACUUUCCAACAGGGUUCCCUUUAGUCCUGGCAAGCGCUGCAUGGUAAAUCCUGAAGAUAGCUUCUGGAACCGACCCAUGAGAAAACAUCUGGAUACAGAACAUUUUAACACAAAGAAAGAGAAACAAGACUGCUGUUCUGUUAUGAAGAUCUCAGCGUUUUAGUGUGAGCAAUUUAUUUUGCAGUUCCUCCUCUGUUAAACUGGGAUAUUUUAUAUAUCACUUCAUUGUACAGUCAGUUUUUUUUCUUUGUUUUAUUUUGCAGUGGUGCCAAAGAUUUAGUAUAGCUUUCAUGCUGUCUUAAUUCUCGCACUUUUGUUUGCACAGACGCCAGCAGUUUCAUAAAUAAUACAACCAUUGCAUACAUAUUUAUUACAAUCUGAUUCAACUACUUUUUUUUUUUUUUUUUUUUUUUAAAGCUUGAAGAAUUUUUUAAAUUUUUUUUUUGACUGGCACCAAAAUUGUUUGGACGUCUUUAUGGAUCUUCAUCAUUAGUAUUUAUCUGGUUCUCCUCUUAUGUCAUGAAUUGCCCGAGGCUGUGAAAACUGACAAGAGUCAACUGCAACAGGAUGUGUGUUUCUAAAAACAAGAGUCCACUGUAUCAAUCCACAAUUUGAAACAGGAUUUCAUAUGUUAAAAGAAAAAAACGUUAUUGAUGUGUUGUUAUAUAUCGUCAAACAAGUGCUCGAUUUGCCAAAUAUUAAUACGCAACAUGAAUUCAGCUAUAUCCUUUCCAGUAAAAAUGGGACCUAUUCUGGAUUAACCCCUGACCUGCCGAAGAGGAUUUCAGUUAACAUAAUAAUUAUCGUGGGCCUCUUCGGGGGUUAAUAAAUUAUAUAUAUAUUUUUUGUCA